CAUGGGCCUGUUUUCCAUACCUGCUCCCGGAACACUGGGUUCCUUCUGUUCAGUGUCUGUUCCCCAGGCCCAGCAUGAAAGGAAUCGGGAAACGUCUCCUGAUGCCCCGCGUUCCCAACACCAGAUGGAGAGUGACAGCCCCGCCGCAGAGAGGAUGGAAAACUGCCUGGAGACAGAUCCUUGGCAGCCCAGCUCUGACAUUGAGCUGACAGAUGUCAAGAUAACGCUCCUGCGUGUUUGAUCGUGGCUUUGGGGGCACAGCGGACCUCCCCCAGCCUGUUGAUACUUCUCUCGGCGUAAGCCAUGGAGAUGGAAGAGGUGGCUCGUGUUUUCCAGUCUACAGCAUGAUGCCAGGGGAAUCUUCCGGGAAGGAAGGCCUAGGUCACCCUCCGGGAGGCCUGACCGGGCUCCUGGACAGCCCUUUGCUCCAAUUCGGAAGGUAACCGUGCUCUAACCAGCCGGCAACCCCUGCUGGGACGUCCGUGUCGCUGCUCACCUUGAUCUAUAAAAACCUCUCACCUUCGCUCUUCCGAGUUCCGUUCUAUCUGCAGAAUUUUUUCUUGUAACUCCAUCCAGUAGUCCGAGCUAAAGAACAUUGUCGAUAAAACGCUGGGAAUUCUGAAAUGCAAAGAUGUCGGUGGCUGUAAGAACAUGGCCAAUGCACUGACAGGUUACGGUUCAUUACCUGUCGCCCGGAAGGCCUGGCUGGUACUGGUUGUGGUUGGAGUCAGAUUGGACUCUUGCCGGGAUGCCUCCCGUUAGACCGUGUGCCCCUGGGGCUGCCACCCGUGCAGGCCAGGCCCUGGGACUGAGGUCAGCCACACAGAAUAGGCUCAGUACCCGUUGAA